AUCAGAGGGAUGGAGCACGUCUCCUGUGAGGACAGGAUGAGAGAAUUGGGAUUGUUGGGAUUGUUCAGCCUGGAGCAAAAAAGGCUUUUGUGGCUUUUCAGUGCCUGAAGGGAACUUGCAGGGAAACUGGGGCAAGACUAUCUACAAGAGCAUGUAGUGACAGGACAAGAUGGAAAGAGUUCAACUUGAAGGAGAAUAUGACUGAAAAGAUCCCUUUUGCUGCUUUUUGCAUCCCUCACCCCCUGCUCAGAACAAUUUUCAUUAGAUAGGAGAGACACUACGACUGUUUUUGAUUGCAAUUUUACAUUCUGCUCUGUUCAUAAAUGCAAAAAUAUAAAGGAUAUCAAGCACCAGUGAAAAUUCAUAUUUGUUGAGCUGAAUGAGAAAUGAUGAAAGCUGAAAUACUCCCUUUUAAACAGUAGCUGGAGCAACUACUGGAAAAGGGGAUUGUGCACAUCCAAAGUGUGAUGCUGUGAUUAAUUAUCUUACUCACAAGAGGAAGAAAACAACUAUUAUCAUGGUAAAAUAAGAUAUUACUCAGUGGGAAAUUAUAUCAACAGAAGCUUCAGAAAAAGAAAAGAAAGCUUUUGUAUGGUCUUUGGCAUGAAAACAAAACAAAAUCUGGAUCAAGUUAUAGUUGAUAUAAACAUUAGAAUCUGAGGUUUUUAUGACAUCAUUUAUGAAAUUUUAAUUAGUACAGAGACUCAUGAAGCUGUCAGACUACAGGGACUGAAGCAGAAAAUUAGGAUUAUGAAACUGCAAUGCAUACAACUCUGUUUUAUGUCAUCUAUUUUGAAUGCUAUGACUUUCCUUUAUAUGUCAAAAUAAUGCUAUAAAAUUAAUGUUUCAUUGCUUCUAUUGAUAAUCUUUCUUUUCACAGUAGUGCUUUGGUUUCCUAAAUGUUAAUUUAGAGUGCAAUGCAUCCAACACAUAAAAGAAAAAUAUAUUUUAAAGAUGCUGAAUUAUCUAAUGUUAUUAGGUUUUAAAAAAUUAUUAUUGUAAACUGAUAUUAUUCAAUUUGUUUUACCCUACAGAAACCUUUUGCACUUUUAAGUCUGGAAUGUCUGGAAGAAACUAAGACACUAAGAUAGACUCUGUGACUUUAAAAAGCAGCUAAAAAAAGAGGACAGAGUGGAACAGAAGGACAAGAAAGGAAAGAACUUGCAGCACUGAAGCUAAGCUGUUCCUGGACCUCAUGGUCCAGCCAGAGCUGAAGGCACAUUUGCAGAUAAUACCAUGCAAUUUUCUCCUACUGCUUAAAGAAAAAUGGAGACAGACAGGAUGAGAUGAAGGCGCCUGAAGCUCUUGCAGACUCCUGUUGGCUUGUUUGACAAGAUCUUACUAGUACAGAUGGGAAAUAGGCUAUUGCAGAGAUGGAUAUUAGUACAAGAAUCAGAGAAGAAAUACAUUUCAUACUGAGCCUGAUCAAAGAUCAAGAGUAAAGGUAUGAAACAAGAAUAGCCUUUAAAAAAAUCAUGCCAGCCUGGUUCUUAUAAAACAUACAGAAAAAAGGAGACAUCUCACACCAGGCCUGUUCUAAGAUAAAGAAUGAAAAUAUAAAGUAAGAAUUGCCCUAAAAAAUUUAUGUGCACCAAGAUAGUUGGGUCCUUAUAAAACUAUAAAAAAACAACAGAAAUGGAUAUGAGAUUUUAAAAUUCCAAAUGAAAGCAAAACUUCUGUGUUAAUGAAGUAAGUCUAGAAAGUCUUCAAGUUGCUUAAGAAGCUGGCCAAAUAAAUUAGAAUAAAAUAUUAUGGUUCCUGCUACAUGUCAUUGAGAGGCUGGUGGUGCAAUUCAUACUUAACAUUAAGAAGCUAUGCAGAAUAAAAAUCACUGACUACAUAUCA